CCUGCCCAAGAGAUCGGGAUAACACCUGGAAACAGAUGCUAAUACCGGGAUAACAACAGAUGAUGCCUAUCAACUGUUUAAAAGAUGGUUCUGCUAUCACUCUUGGAUGGACCUGCGGUGCAUUAGCUAGUUGGUAGGGUAACGGCCUACCAAGGCGAUGAUGCAUAGCCGAGUUGAGAGACUGAUCGGCCACAUUGGGACUGAGACACGGCCCAAACUCCUACGGGAGGCAGCAGCC
rnacentral:rRNA from 1 species